UACGAAGGCCCCAAGCGUUAACCGAAAUUAUUGGGCGUAAAGCGUCCGCAGGCGGAAUAGCGCGUCUGCUGUUAAAUCCUGGGGCUCAACCCCAUGGGCUGCAGUGGAUACGGCUAUUCUUGAGGCAUAGAGAGGUAAGCGGAACUCCUGGUGGAGCGGUGAAAUGCGUUGAUAUCAGGGGGAACACCAAUUGCGAAGGCAGCUUACUGGCUAUGUCCUGACGCUCAGGGACGACAGCGUGGGAAGUGAAUGGG
rnacentral:misc_RNA from 1 species